AGGAUUUAGAAACACUUUGGAAGCUC
rnacentral:piRNA from 1 species